rnacentral:rRNA from 1 species
GAUGAACGCUAGCGGCAGGCUUAAUACAUGCAAGUCGAGGGGCAGCAUGAUUGUAGCAAUACAAUUGAUGGCGACCGGCAAACGAGUGCGGAACACGUACACAACCUUCCAACAAGUGGGGGAUAGCCCAGAGAAAUUUGGAUUAAUACCCCGUAACAUAGCGAUGUGGCAUCACAUUGCUAUUAUAGAUUUUUCGCUUGUUGAUGGGUGUGCGGCUGAUUAGAUAGUUGGCGGGGUAACGGCCCACAAAGUCUACGAUCAGUAGCUGAUGUGAGAGCAUGAUCAGCCACACGGGCACUGGGACACGGGCCCGACUCCUACGGGAGGCAGCAGUAAGGAAUAUUGGACAAUGGACGCAAGUCUGAUCCAGCCAUGCCGCGUGAAGGAUUAAGGUCCUCUGGAUUGUAAACUUCUUUUAUAAGGGACGAAAAAAGGCUUUUCUAAGUCGUCUGACGGUACCUUAUGAAUAAGCACCGGCUAACUCCGUGCCAGCAGCCGCCGUAACAC